UAACAUCGCGGCUUCCACAUCGGUCUUAAAAACCACCGAUGUUAAAAAUGUUUUUAACAUCAAAAAUGAAAAAACUGAUGUUAAAAAGCAUUUUAGACAUCGGUAUUUAUAAUCACCGAUAUCUUUUCUUCAGUUUGAAAAUUAAAAAAACACGGGACUUUUGUUUCCCCCUUUUAACACACUAAAACAUACCGCCUUUCUUACAAACAUUCCCCUUGACCAGAUUUUUAUUUUUCCUCUUUCUCUCUAUCGGAUCUCAUCUCAUCUCAAUCUCUUCUCUCUUAAUCUCCUUCAAUCUCUCUCUCUCCCUCCGUCCAUCUCCCUCCCCCGUCUUUCUCUCACCAUCAAUAUCAAACACACUAACUCACCAAUAUGAAUCUGUUUUAUUUAACCCUGAUUGCAGUACUAGCUCGAAGAAGAUCCAUUGGAUUUACAAGGUAACUUGGAGGAUCUCAAUUAGUUCGAAUGGAUUUCAGAUUUGUGAUGGGGUCAAUUCGAUUUUUUGGUUUGGAACGGUUCAAUUGGGUUUUAGGGUUUCAAUUAGCAAAGCAGGUCUCUUGUUCUCUAUAUCUAUCUUCUUCUUCUUCAUGGUAUAUAUCUUAUUGUAUCUUCUUCUUUAUCUCAAUUGAUUUUUGUUCGUAUUUUUGUGAUCUUUUCAAAUAAAACAUUAUUAUUUGUAAGUGUUUGUGCAGCAUAUGUUAUCUUGUUAGCUACAUAGUUUUAUAUAUGACUAUUGUUGUUACAAGUAUUUUUUGUGUUAUAGGUUUUAGUUAAGUGACAUCUUUAUUAAGCAAAUCGAUUAUAGAAUGUUAAGUAAACUAUAACGCCCACUGAAACUGCAUCUCAAACUGCAAUUAAGCAGGGUUCAUUUCCAUGUUUUUAUUAUGAAUAGUUCCAUGGUCUUAUUUAGUCAGUUUUGAUAUUGUUGUUAUUUCCAAGUGCCCCCCUCUCUCUGAGUUAAAACAGGUUUGAUAUUUAGUCAGUUUUGAUAUUGUUUUUAUUAUAUGAAAAAAACUAAAGAGUAUCAUUCUUGCUCUGUUCUUAGAAAAAUUUGUGUUGCAGUAUAGAAGUCCCCCAGUAAAAGUAUGUCGAGAUGUGGUGAGUUUUAGUUGCUAACUAAUUGUAUUUUAUUAUGUGAACAUAUACAGACUUUCAUUUCAGUCAGACUUGUGCAUAAAAUAGUUAAAGAAUUUUGUAAGCCAGGAGGGGGGCUUCCUUUAUUGGAGCAAGUUUCGAUCCCUACUGCCUCAUUGAAACUCUGGAAGGAAAGAUAUGACUGAUGCAUUGUCUUCCAAUAGCCAAUGAGAAGGGAACUUAGCGGGUGAUGUCACCAAUACAUAUAAGGAGGUCCUUCUCUCUGCCAGUUUUAUACAACGAAGGCACUAUAGCCCUCAUAUUGCUCUAUUGGCAGUCUGGAGUUCUUCCUCAGUGUUAGGCAAACCAUAGGAUCCUUGAUGUAGAUGCUACUUGUUUAGAAGUCCCAUUGGAGCAUGUUGCCUCCAAUUUGGAAAAUUAUGACCUUGUUGUUGAAGAUAGUGAACGAGCGGUGUCUGAAUCUGCAUGCGUAUCUAUUGUUGUGCUUGGUGCUUCUGGUGAUCUUGCAAAAAAGACUCUCCCUGAACUCUUGCACAUCUAAAUUUCGUUGUGAUAGUUGGCUUGUGUUGAUGGUUUCAUGUCAUUAUAGAACUAGCUCUCUUCAUUUUGAUAUUGGACAUGUAUUUUGUACUAUGAGGCGAUAAAUUUAUGCUAAUAUUUUUAUGAUUAAUGUUCUAUAAUAUUUCUCUUUGGAUAUUAUGG